AAAACGGACUAACCCGUUGAUAUGCGUCAAAAUCGACAAACGUUUUCAAUCAAAAUAUUACUAAAAAUUUGAAUAAAAUGUCCUCUAAACUACCAGAGACAAUCCUGAUGUCCGCUGAACCUCAGUUUUAUAAAUGCAACCUUAAGCUAAACGAGCAGGUAAUGAAAUUUAAUCCCACUCAGUCAAUCGAAUGCAAUCCAGUAAAAGGGAUCGGAUUGAACUCUUAUUACUUAAACAUGCGGCAUGAGCUGCAUAGCUUAGGUCAGCUAUCUUUGCAAGAAAGACGAGACAAAAUGAAACGACGUCUAAUCGAAGAUUUUCGAAUAGAAGAAAAAGAACUUAAUGAUGUGGAUCUAGGGUACAUUGAAACACAGCGCUAAAUCUCAAUACUGAAACUAAAUUCGGGAAAAUUCAUUAAAUAUGGGUAAAUUUCAUUAAAACAAGUAGUUAAAUAGAACAUCUCAUAUUUAA